GUGUUUUUCUUCUUUUAUAACAUCAACCAAAUGACAAAGAGGCAAGAUUUGUCAAGACUCUCCGGUGGUGUGCACGUGACUUAUCUAUCUUCUACCAUUUACUAAAUUUUUUUUGCUUUCAGGCACUGGGCUCAAGAAAGAGAGACGUCACAACUCAGAAGAAUGCCUUUCCUCCUCUCCUUCUUUCAAUGGCCGUCUCUCUCGCCCAGAAAGCCCUCUUCAUCUCUUGUUGUUCCUAUUCUUUAUCACUAAGGAUGCCAUUUUCCCUCCCUCAUCUUGCAUUUUUCCGAUCGACAACAGCAAAAAUCCAAGAUAUGGUAUGAAAUUUGGAGAUUUCUCCAUCAUCCUCAUGCUAUUUUGUCCAAAAAUUCGGAUUCUCUCAAAAAACUGCUAAUGUGGUAGUAUGGAUCAACAUUAUUCCCAGCCUGUUUUGCAUAAUAUUGGUGAAUAUUUUGAGUGAGCCUUCUUCUAUUCGCUUAUACGUGAUUACAGUUUAUACUCUGCUUUGGAUUUUUUUCGUUUAUAUAUUUGUUUUUAUAACCUAUUAGAUGUAAGUUUCAAUUUUGGUUAUCAUGAACAGUUUAUCCGCUUAGUUGUGUCUUGGAAAGUUUAGUUUUCUGACAUGUUUCCUUGAGCCUUUUAUAUUGAAAAUUUAUAAAUCCUCACUAGAUGUUGGACUCAUUUGUGUAUUUCAUGGGUAUGUCCUUUUUGUGUUUUUUUGUGCGUAGGGUUACUUUUUUUUCCUUGUAAUGAUACAAGUAAUGAUACAAGUUUACUUUUUUUUCUGUUCUAAAGUGCUGUAAUGAUACAAUCAUAUUUUAUUUAUCAAAUGUUUGAUAGAAUAUUGAAACCAUUCAUUUGUUAUAUAGUAGCUAAAAUUGGGAAAAAAAAUUGUCCCCUCUAACCCACUCUCUUGAUUUUCAACCGAAAGACUUUGCUCCUCUAUCCAUGAAUUUCCUCUUCCUGUUCUCAUGGUCUUCACUUGCUAAUAAAAAAGGAGAAGCUAUAUAUGCUUCUGUUAUCUCUUCUUCUAUUGUAGUUCUACAAAAAGAAAAAGUGGAGAUUGUCAUGUGAUAAAGCCUCUAAAAUUUCUCAAGGUAGCUUCCUCUAUUUUAUAGUAUUCUCUGUGUCAUCAUUUGGCCGGUAAUGCUUACUAAUUCUUCUGCACAUGAGCUUAUGGUGGGCUUCCUUUUUUCCAUCUCCAGCAUCAGUACACAUGAGGUGAUAAGAGGUUCAUGGAGGAUGAUUAAAAAUUGUGGCGAAACCCCUGCCAUAUUGUGAAAUUUUUCAUAGUGAUGAUUAAAAAUAUCUUAGAGAAACUAGAUAUUUUUUUCAUAGCGAACUUCUUUUUCCAAGGUUCUCUAUACUGAGCUGACAAACAUUAUGAUUUGUUAUCUAACAUUCGGCAGUUAGUUAAGAUUCGAGAGUUGAAACAAAGAAGUUGGGACUACUAGCUGAGCCAUAUUUGGAGGGAGAGCAAUCAAUGUGUAGAUUGGUUGGUCAAAUGCAGCAUAUGAUCCAUCCAGGUUAUAAGUUCCCGAGAGGUGCAAGAUUUGUUAGAAGUGGAUUUGUUAGGAGUUGUAUAUCAUCAUUUUGUUUUUAUUUAAGAGGUUGUGACCUCUUCCAAUGCACCAAAAUAAAUAAAUAAAAAGGUUCCUUUACGAUAUGUAUCCUUGGUGCUUCUUGUAGGAUUUUUUUUUCCUUUUGAUUGGCCUUAUCCCAUAAUGUUGUAAAACUGCUCUGGCUGCAAAAGUGUACAGAAAUUCCGAGGUUGCUUUCCUCAAAACUCAAAAGACAGGAAUAUGUUUAAGAAUGAGUUUGGAAUUAUUUUAAGUAAUGCAGAUAUGUUACAAUGGUAUAUGUCC